AGGGCGGAAUUAGAAUAGUUGGAGUGAAAGCGAGGGUGCGAAAAGGACACCGAUCGUCAGUAGUUGCGUUCCAAGUAUUCCUGGCCUUUGUAAGGCACUUGGGUUGGUCGGCCCUCGGCGGGUUCCGGGUGUGUGUACGUCUCCGCGGCCGUUCUGAAGGAGCCUGGUCUGGGCGUCACGGCCCCGUCACACGGCCCGGCCUUCCCCGUGGGUGCUCUCGGGCCCGCUGGGGCGCUGGUGCCCGUUUCCCUCUUGAACUGACGCUCCCGAUGCUGUUGGAAGGCUGAUUGUCCUUUUCGCUGGUGUGUUUUGUCCUUCGCGUGACCUUCACCGGUGAAAACACGCCCAUGGGACGCCCCGAGGGGGCGGACGUGGGAUGGAGAGCCCAUGCUCCUGGGUUCGGGGGCAGUCGCUCCGCGCUGCCCUGGCGGCUUCAGGCAGGUGGUCUGGACCUCUCUCUGCCUCGGUUUCUCUACUAGAAAGGACAUAUUGCCCUACCUCACAGGGGUGUUGCGAGGAUUAAUAAAUGUUGGUCCGGUGCUUUGGAGA